rnacentral:rRNA from 1 species
UACGUAGGCAGCAAGCGUUGUUCGGAGUUACUGGGCGUAAAGGGUGCGUAGGCGGUCCUAUAAGUAUGGUGUGAAAUCUCCCGGCUUAACUGGGAGGGUGCGCUAUAGACUGUGGGACUAGAGUGUGGGAGAGGAAAGUGGAAUUCCUGGUGUAGCGGUGAAAUGCGUAGAUAUCAGGAGGAACACCGGUGGUGUAAACGGCUUUCUGGACCAUAACUGACGCUGAGGCACGAAGGCGUGGGUAGCAAACAGG